GAUGAAGAACGUAGCGAAAUGCGAUAAGUAAUGUGAAUUGCAGAAUUCAGUGAAUCAUCGAAUCUUUGAACGCACAUUGCGCCCCUUGGUAUUCCGGGGGGCAUGCCUGUUCGAGCGUCAUUACACCACUCAAGCUAUGCUUGGUAUUGGGCGUCGUCCUUAGUUGGGCGCGCCUUAAAGACCUCGGCGAGGCCACUCCGGCUUUAGGCGUAGUAGAAUUUAUUCGAACGUCUGUCAAAGGAGAGGAACUCUGCCGACUGAAACCUUUAUUUUUCUAGGUUGACCUCGGAUCAGGUAGGGAUACCCGCUGAACUUAAGCAUAUCAAUAAGCGGAGGA
rnacentral:misc_RNA from 1 species